rnacentral:rRNA from 1 species
GAUGAACGCUAGCGGCAGGCCUAACACAUGCAAGUCGAGGGGUAACUAGAGUGAUAGCAAUAUUACUUUGGCUAGACCGGCGCACGGGUGCGUAACACGUAUGCAACCUACCUUAUACUGGGGAAUAACUUCGAGAAAUCGGCGCUAAUACCCCAUAACAUUGCGAAGAGGCAUCUCUUUGCAAUUAAAGCUCCGGCGGUAUAAGAUGGGCAUGCGUCCAAUUAGCUAGUUGGUGAGGUAACGGCUCACCAAGGCUACGAUUGGUAGGGGUUCGUAGAGGAUGAUCCCCCACACUGUUACUGAGACACGGACCAGACUCCUACGGGAGGCAGCAGUGAGGAAUAUUGCGCAAUGGACGAAAGUCUGACGCAGCCAUGCCGCGUGCAGGAUGACGGCCCUAUGGGUUGUAAACUGCUUUUGUACGGGAAUAAACCCUUCUACGUGUAGGAGGCUGAAGGUACCGUAAGAAUAAGCACCGGCUAACUCCGUGCCAGCCGCCGCAGUAAAAC